rnacentral:rRNA from 1 species
CUACGGGCGGCUCCAGUGGGGAAUAUUGGGCAAUGGGCGCAAGCCUGACCCAGCAACGCCGCGUGAGGGAAGAAGGUUUUCGGAUUGUAAACCUCUGUCCUUGGGGACGAAAAAAAUGACGGUACCCAAGGAGGAAGCUCCGGCUAACUACGUGCCAGCAGCCGCGGUAAUACGUAGGGAGCGAGCGUUGUCCGGAAUUACUGGGCGUAAAGGGUGCGUAGGCUGCAUAUUAAGUCAGGUGUGAAAUACUCGGGCUCAACCCGGGGGCUGCACUUGAAACUGGUGUGCUUGAGUGCGAGAGAGGAAAGUGGAAUUCCUAGUGUAGCGGUGAAAUGCGUAGAUAUUAGGAGGAACACCAGUGGCGAAGGCGACUUUCUGGCUCGUAACUGACGCUGAGGCACGAAAGCGUGGGGAGCAAACAGGACUAGAUACCCUCGUAGUC